GGGUUGUGAGGUUAAGCGACUAAGCGUACACGGUGGAUGCCCUGGCAGUCAGAGGCGAUGAAGGGCGUGCUAAUCUGCGAUAAGCGCCGGUAAGGUGAUAUGAACCGUUAUAACCGGCGAUACCCGAAUGGGGAAACCCAGUGUGACUCGUCACACUAUCAUUAACUGAAUCCAUAGGUUAAUGAGGCGAACCGGGGGAACUGAAACAUCUAAGUACCCCGAGGAAAAGAAAUCAACCGAGAUUCCCCCAGUAGCGGCGAGCGAACGGGGAGGAGCCCAGAGCCUGAAUCAGCAUGUGUGUUAGUGGAAGCGUCUGGAAAGGCGCGCGAUACAGGGUGACAGCCCCGUACACAAAAGCGCAUGUGCUGUGAGCUCGAUGAGUAGGGCGGGACACGUGGUAUCCUGUCUGAAUAUGGGGGGACCAUCCUCCAAGGCUAAAUACUCCUGACUGACCGAUAGUGAACCAGUACCGUGAGGGAAAGGCGAAAAGAACCCCGGCGAGGGGAGUGAAAAAGAACCUGAAACCGUGUACGUACAAGCAGUGGGAGCACCCUUUGGGGUGUGACUGCGUACCUUUUGUAUAAUGGGUCAGCGACUUAUAUUCUGUAGCAAGGUUAACCGAAUAGGGGAGCCGGAGGGAAACCGAGUCUUAAUUGGGCGUUAAGUUGCAGGGUAUAGACCCGAAACCCGGUGAUCUAGCCAUGGGCAGGUUGAAGGUUGGGUAACACUAACUGGAGGACCGAACCGACUAAUGUUGAAAAAUUAGCGGAUGACCUGUGGCUGGGGGUGAAAGGCCAAUCAAACCGGGAGAUAGCUGGUUCUCCCCGAAAGCUAUUUAGGUAGCGCCUCGUGAAUUCAUCUCCGGGGGUAGAGCACUGUUUCGGCUAGGGGGCCAUCCCGGCUUACCAACCCGAUGCAAACUGCGAAUACCGGAGAAUGUUAUCACGGGAGACACACGGCGGGUGCUAACGUCCGUCGUGAAGAGGGAAACAACCCAGACCGCCAGCUAAGGUCCCAAAGUCAUGGUUAAGUGGGAAACGAUGUGGGAAGGCCCAGACAGCCAGGAUGUUGGCUUAGAAGCAGCCAUCAUUUAAAGAAAGCGUAAUAGCUCACUGGUCGAGUCGGCCUGCGCGGAAGAUGUAACGGGGCUAAACCAUGCACCGAAGCUGCGGCAGCGACACUCAGGUGUUGUUGGGUAGGGGAGCGUUCUGUAAGCCUGCGAAGGUGGCCUGUGAGGGUUGCUGGAGGUAUCAGAAGUGCGAAUGCUGACAUAAGUAACGAUAAAGCGGGUGAAAAGCCCGCUCGCCGGAAGACCAAGGGUUCCUGUCCAACGUUAAUCGGGGCAGGGUGAGUCGACCCCUAAGGCGAGGCCGAAAGGCGUAGUCGAUGGGAAACGGGUUAAUAUUCCCGUACUUGGUGUUACUGCGAAGGGGGGACGGAGAAGGCUAUGUUGGCCGGGCGACGGUUGUCCCGGUUUAAGCGUGUAGGCUGGUUUUCCAGGCAAAUCCGGAAAAUCAAGGCUGAGGCGUGACGACGAGGCACUACGGUGCUGAAGCAACAAAUGCCCUGCUUCCAGGAAAAGCCUCUAAGCAUCAGGUAACAUCAAAUCGUACCCCAAACCGACACAGGUGGUCAGGUAGAGAAUACCAAGGCGCUUGAGAGAACUCGGGUGAAGGAACUAGGCAAAAUGGUGCCGUAACUUCGGGAGAAGGCACGCUGACAUGUAGGUGAAGUGAUUUACUCAUGGAGCUGAAGUCAGUCGAAGAUACCAGCUGGCUGCAACUGUUUAUUAAAAACACAGCACUGUGCAAACACGAAAGUGGACGUAUACGGUGUGACGCCUGCCCGGUGCCGGAAGGUUAAUUGAUGGGGUCAGCGCAAGCGAAGCUCCUGAUCGAAGCCCCGGUAAACGGCGGCCGUAACUAUAACGGUCCUAAGGUAGCGAAAUUCCUUGUCGGGUAAGUUCCGACCUGCACGAAUGGCGUAAUGAUGGCCAGGCUGUCUCCACCCGAGACUCAGUGAAAUUGAACUCGCUGUGAAGAUGCAGUGUACCCGCGGCAAGACGGAAAGACCCCGUGAACCUUUACUAUAGCUUGACACUGAACAUUGAGCCUUGAUGUGUAGGAUAGGUGGGAGGCUUUGAAGUGUGGACGCCAGUCUGCAUGGAGCCGACCUUGAAAUACCACCCUUUAAUGUUUGAUGUUCUAACGUGGACCCGUGAUCCGGGUUGCGGACAGUGUCUGGUGGGUAGUUUGACUGGGGCGGUCUCCUCCUAAAGAGUAACGGAGGAGCACGAAGGUUGGCUAAUCCUGGUCGGACAUCAGGAGGUUAGUGCAAUGGCAUAAGCCAGCUUGACUGCGAGCGUGACGGCGCGAGCAGGUGCGAAAGCAGGUCAUAGUGAUCCGGUGGUUCUGAAUGGAAGGGCCAUCGCUCAACGGAUAAAAGGUACUCCGGGGAUAACAGGCUGAUACCGCCCAAGAGUUCAUAUCGACGGCGGUGUUUGGCACCUCGAUGUCGGCUCAUCACAUCCUGGGGCUGAAGUAGGUCCCAAGGGUAUGGCUGUUCGCCAUUUAAAGUGGUACGCGAGCUGGGUUUAGAACGUCGUGAGACAGUUCGGUCCCUAUCUGCCGUGGGCGCUGGAGAACUGAGGGGGGCUGCUCCUAGUACGAGAGGACCGGAGUGGACGCAUCACUGGUGUUCGGGUUGUCAUGCCAAUGGCACUGCCCGGUAGCUAAAUGCGGAAGAGAUAAGUGCUGAAAGCAUCUAAGCACGAAACUUGCCCCGAGAUGAGUUCUCCCUGAGACUUUAGGUCUCCUGAAGGAACGUUGAAGACGACGACGUUGAUAGGCCGGGUGUGUAAGCGCAGCGAUGCGUUGAGCUAACCGGUACUAAUGAACCGUGAGGCUUAACCUUACAACGCCGAAG
rnacentral:rRNA from 1 species